rnacentral:rRNA from 1 species
UAGGGAAUCUUCCACAAUGGACGAAAGUCUGAUGGAGCAACACCGCGUGAGUGAAGAAGGGUUUCGGCUCGUAAAGCUCUGUUAGUUAAAGAAGAACACGUAUGAGAGUAACUGUUCAUACGUUGACGGUAUUUAACCAGAAAGUCACGGCUAACUACGUGUCAG